AGGCUUGAAUGAAGUCAUGUAAUGCACAGAGCUUCUCCUUAAGGCUCAUCUCAGCCUUCCUGAGCUAGAUAAGACCAGACAACACUUAAGUAUGACUCUUCAGACCAUUUCUAAUGGUGAAAUCACUAACAGAAAGCACAGGACUGCAAAAAAGCAUUGCACUGAAUAGACUGAAGAGGACGCUUGCUUACAGAAUCAGCUGAAACAAGCUCCACACUUCAAGUGCCUAUCGCAAGAAGAGACCUUAGUGCUAAAGCUGCAUAAAAAUGUAGGGGAAAAUAGAAGAUCAAUUUCAAAAGGGGAACAAAACAAAAGCAAAGCUGCCUAUUUUGCAUUUGAUUGGAUUUGGACAGAGAAAGCAGAAUUGUGAGCUUCUUGAAAACUUGGACAAUUUCUACUUUGAGAACAAGUAUUCAUUUUACAGAUUUAAAAAUAAUUGAUCACCAAUGGCCAACUGUGUAGUAGAAUCAAUUCAUGGCCCUGUUUGCUGUUCUUGUCUCCUGUGUUGUGUCCAGUGAUAUGAUGGACAGGUAUUA